CAAUCGUGAAUAAAGGGAAGGUAGUCAUAUUAAGCAGCACCUGUCCUGUAGGGAACGCAAUGAUUGCAGAGGAAAAACACAGAGUGAAGCCUGCUUGCAUCUCCCUGGGGUGUAGAGACUGACUUCCUCCCACAGCAUGAGAAAAUUAAUGCUGGGAGAUUUAAAAUGAAUUGCCCAAGAACACACAGUAUGACAUUGGCAGAGCUGUGGGCAACUUCUGCUAUCCCUGUCUUGGAAUCCAGUCACCAUGUAAAAAAUGCCACUGCCCUGAGACCACCCACCAUGCUGUUAAGAAGCCCAAGCAAGUGAAGUCACCGUAUACUAGAAUGGAAAUUUGAUAGGUAAGUCCACAAGAGUGUCCAAGGCAUAGUGCAUAUCCUAUAGAAACUCAGCUGUUGGGAAAAUGCAGACAAUCAUGUUGGUCAAGAGCAACACAUUCUCAUGGCAGAAGGUUUCUAACAAUGAAAGGAACUCACCAGAGCCCCAGACUCAGCCUACAAAUCAAGCUUUAUUUUUAAAUAUUAAAAAGAAAAAAAUCUGUUAGAUUGACUUUUACAAGGAAAUAAAGCCAGGUUACUGAAUGAAUUCAUCUGAAGGUUAUUUAUAGUUUUGUUGCUUGUUUGUUUUUAACCACAGACAACAUGUCUUAAUUGGAAUGGACAAUAAAGAUAAACUGCUUCAGCCCUCUUGUAAAAUGGUGCGUAGUGUGAUGCUCAUAGCUGAGAUUUGAAGAAAUACUUUCAUUCAUUUUCAUAUCCAUCCAGCAAUCAUUUGUCAAACAGUUAUUCAGCACUGAACCAUGGACCAGAAAAGGGACAGACAGAAGAAUAAGGCAACGUUGUCCUCUUGAAGUAGUUUGAAGUUUGGAGGGACACACAUUUAAUCAUUAAAUCUUCAGUAAGAAAAAACAUAACAUGUCUUGGCCGGGAGCGGUGGCUCACGCCUGUAAUCCCAGCACUUUGGGAGGCCAAGGCGGGCAGAUCACAAGGUCAGGAGUUCAAGAACAACCUGGUCAACAUAGUGAAACCCCAUCUCUACUAAAAAUAAAAAAAAUUAGUGGGGCUUGGUGGCGGGCGCCUGUAAUCCCAGCUACUCAAGAGGCUGAGGCAGGAGAACAGCUUGAACCCGGGAGGCGGAGCUUGCAGUGAGCCGAGAUUGCGCCACUGCACACCAGCUGGGUGACAGAGCGAGACUCCAUCUUAAAA
rnacentral:lncRNA from 10 species